GGGGGUGCGGCAGAGUUGGAGAGCUGCAGGCGGCUGUAAACCGUCUCCUUAACGGUGAGUUGGUUCGAAUCCAUCCAUCCCCACCA
rnacentral:tRNA from 1 species